GACGAACGCUGGCGGCAUGCCUAACACAUGCAAGUCGAACGGAAACGCCCUGCUUUUGUGGGGUGCUCGAGUGGCGAACGGGUGAGUAACACGUGAGUAACCUGCCCUUGACUUUGGGAUAACUUAAGGCAAGUGGGGCUAAUACCGGAUAGGAGCUCCCGCUGCAUGGUGGGGGUUGGAUAGUUUCGGCGGUUGGGGAUGGACUCGCGGGUUAUCGGCUUGUUGGUUGGGUAGUGGCUUACCAAGGCCUGGGAGGGUAGGCGGCCUGGGAGGGUGGACGGCUACCUUGCGACUGAGAUACGGCCCAGACUCGUACGGGAGGCAGCGGUGGGGAGUCGUGCACAGUGGGCGGGAGGCGGAUGCGACAACGCCGCGUGCGGGAUGACGUCCUGCGGGUAGUGAAGCGCAUUCGCCUGAGACGAAGCGUUAGUGACGGUACUGGGUGAAGAAGCACCGGCUAACUACGUG
rnacentral:rRNA from 1 species